UACGAAGGGGGCUAGCGUUGUUCGGAAUCACUGGGCGUAAAGCGCACGUAGGCGGACUUUUUAAGUCAGAGGUGAAAAUCCCAAGGCUCAACCUUGGAACUGCCUUUGAUACUGGGAGUCUUGAGGUCGAGAGAGGUGAGUGGAACUGCGAGUGUAGAGGUGAAAUUCGUAGAUAUUCGCAAGAACACCAGUGGCGAAGGCGGCUCACUGGCUCGAUUCUGACGCUGAGGUGCGAAAGCGUGGGGAGCAAACAGG
rnacentral:rRNA from 1 species